UUUUUUCCUUCCUUAGACAACCAACUCUUUCAUCUAUAUGGUUCCUUCUGUUCAGCCAAAUCAUAGGUCGGCCAACAAAAGUCAGUGUCCUUUGAUCCGUCUAGAUCAAUCUUCAGGACACAGCUACCAAUUUGAAUCGAGAUGCCACCAGGAACCUUUUUCAAACCAUGCUCUCUCAUUGAGUUACGAUGACUCGAAGCAGAUCAGAGAUAUCACCUACCUUUAAGAAUCCAGUAAUCAUUAAACAUCGUUUCUCGCAGGCAUUCUCUCAAAUACCGAGGGCUAAUUCCAUAUUCCCAUCUCUAGUCCGGAAACAACAAUCAACCUUCUCGGUUUCACUACUUCUAUCAAAUUUUAGUCAAAUAAAUUCUUGUGGUAUAUGUACAAAUAAGCUAGUUCACAAAAAGACUAUACUCAACUGUAUCAUUGAUUUUCGUAGAAACAAGAGAUUAGUGGAAUGUAGAAACCACUCACGGCA